rnacentral:rRNA from 1 species
GAGCUCUCAAUCUGUCAAUCCUUCCAGUGUCCGGGCCUGGUGAGAUUUCCCGUGUUGAGUCAAAUUAAGCCGCAGGCUCCACUCCUGGUGGUGCCCUUCCGUCAAUUCCUUUAAGUUUCAGCUUUGCAACCAUACUUCCCCCGGAACUCAAAAACUUUGGUUUCCCGGAAGCUUCCUGCCCAGUCUACAGUAAAAACGCAGGCAGAUCGCUAGCUGGCAUCGUUUAUGGUUAGAACUAGGGCGGUAUCUAAUCGCCUUCGAACCUCUAACUUUCGUUCUUGAUUAAUGAAAACAUUCUUGGCAAAUGCUUUCGCAGUAGUUUGUCUUCAAACGGUCCAAGAAUUUCACCUCUGUCGUUUGAAUACAAAUGCCCCCGACUGUCCCUAUUUAUCAUUAUGUCGAGUCCCGAAAACCAACAAAAUAGGAUCGACAUCCUAUUCUAUUAUUCCAUGCACGAAUAUUCAGGCAUUUUAGCCUGCUUUGAGCACUCUAAUUUUUUCAAAGUAAACCUGCUGGCAUCCAGAGACACUCGAUCAAGAGCACCCCUAAACCUCCAGCAAAAGCACAGCCUACAAAGCAGUAAAACUACAAAGUUAACCGCUUCAAGGCUGUUGAGAUCCAACUACGAGCUUUUUAACCGCAACAACUUUAAUAUACGCUAUUGGAGCUGGAAU